rnacentral:rRNA from 1 species
AACGAACGCUGGCGGCAGGCUUAACACAUGCAAGUCGAACGCCCCGCAAGGGGAGUGGCAGACGGGUGAGUAACGCGUGGGAAUCUACCUAGUUCUACGGAACAACUGAGGGAAACUUCAGCUAAUACCGUAUACGCCCUACGGGGGUAAGAUUUAUCGGAAUUAGAUGAGCCCGCGUAAGAUUAGCUAGUUGGUGGGGUAAUGGCCUACCAAGGCGACGAUCUUUAGCUGGUCUGAGAGGAUGAUCAGCCACACUGGGACUGAGACACAGCCCAGACUCCUACGGGAGGCAGCAGUGGGGAAUAUUGAACAAUGGGCGCAAGCCUGAUCCAGCCAUGCCGCGUGAGUGAUGAAGGCCUUAGGGUUGUAAAGCUCUUUCAGUGGGGAAGAUAAUGACGGUACCCACAGAAGAAGCCCCGGCUAACUUCGUGCCAGCAGCCGCAGUAACAC